rnacentral:rRNA from 1 species
UCCCUACGGGGUGCACCAGGCGCGAAAACUUUACAAUGCGGGCAACCGUGAUAAGGGAACCUCGAGUGCCUGUAUAUGCAGGCUGUCCAGGUGUCUAAAACACACUCGAGAAACGUUCCGGCCGGGG